GGUCAAGCUACUAAGAGCUUAUGGUGGAUGGCUUGGCAGGAGCAGGCGACGAAGGACGGGGUAAGCUCCGAUAAUCUCCGGGGAGUCGCAAACAGGCUUUGAUCCGGAGGUUUCCGAAUGGGGAAACCCAUACCGAUUCAUCUCGGUAUAUCUCUUAUUGAAUAUAUAGAUAAGAGAAGCUAACCAGGAGAAGUGAACCAUCUCAGUAUCCUGAGGAAAAGAAACCGCAGGGGAUUCCCCUAGUAGCGGCGAGCGAAAAGGGAACAGCCUAAACCUGCUAUUGUUUCAAUAGCGGGGGUUGCGGGGUUUAUCCGGAAGAGACCAAAAGUUUCUUCGGGAGGUCAGAAAUUUAGUCUUUAGUUGAAUACUUUGGAAAAGGUAGCCAAAGAAGGUGAGAGCCCUGUAGACGAAAAAGACUAAACCUCCUGGGAUAAAUUCCCAAGUACUACGGGACACGAGAAACCCCGUAGGAAGCUGGCCUGACCACAGGCCAAGGCUAAAUACUUGCUUCUGACCGAUAGUGCAAUAGUACCGUGAGGGAAAGCUGAAAAGUACCCCGGCGAGGGGAGUGAAAUAGUACCUGAAACCAUAAGUUUACAAGCGGUCGGAGUCCCGCUUUUGGCGGGAUGACGGCGUACCUUUUGCAUAAUGAGCCGGGGAGUUACUCCUGUACAGCGAGCUUAACCCCGAAUCCUCGGGGGUAGGCGUAGGGAAACCGAGUCCUAACUGGGCGAUGAGUUGUGCGGGGUAGACUCGAAGCUGGGGUGAUCUACCCAUGGCCAGGAUGAAUCUCGAGUAACAUCGAGAGGAGGUCCGAACCCGUCAGUGUUGAAAAACUGUGGGAUGAGCUGUGGGUAGGAGUGAAAGGCUAAACAAACCCAGGGAUAGCUAGUUCUCCCCGAAAUAACUUUAGGGUUAGCCUCGAGAUUGGGAAGUGGGGGUAGAGCACUCGAUGGGCUAGGGACCCUACCAGGUUGCCAAACCCAACGAAACUCCGAAUACCAUUUUCCUGUAUCUCGGGAGUCAGUCUACGAGCGAUAAGGUCCGUGGUCGAGAGGGGAACAACCCAGAUCACCAGCUAAGGUCCCUAAAUGUAGACUAAGUGGAAAAGGAUGUGAAAUCGCGUAGACAACCGGGAUGUUGGCUUAGAGGCAGCCAUCAUUUAAAGAGUGCGUAACAGCUCACCGGUCGAUUACCCCGAGUAAUCGGGGUGCGAUUUUGCGCCGACAAUAAUCGGGGCUAAGUUUACUACCGAAGCUGUGAUCCGCCACUGUUUCAGUGGUGGAGGUAGGGGAGCAUUCCACCGCAGUGAAGUUCCGAUGCGAAUCGGAAUGGAGUGAGUGGAAGAGAGAAUCCCGGUAUAAGUAGCGAAAAUCCCGACGAGAAAUCGGGACGCCGAAAGUCUAAGGUUUCCUGGGGAAGGUUAAUCCACCCAGGGUUAGUCGAGCCUAAGCUGAGGCCGAAGGGCGUAGGCGAUGGAUAGUCGGUUAAUAUUCCGACACCACUUCUUUGAUGCGCGGCGUAAGCAGCAAGCCUAAAGGUGACGCAGGAAGCUAAGCCAGCCCCGUGCAGACUUACGGGGUCCAAUCCUGUAGUCCACCAUUAAUCGUGGCGGAUGAGGGGUGUAAGGGAGCCUGAUCUACGGAGAGGGCAAACUGGCUGAUGCUCUACUGCCGAGAAACAGCCUUGAUGGCGAAUCGAAGGAGUGUUCGUACCGUAAUCCGACACAGGUAGACAGCCAGAAUAUGGUAAGGCGCUCGAGAGAACCCUCGUUAAGGAACUCGGCAAAAUGGCCCCGUAACUUCGGGAAAAGGGGUGUCCCGAAAGGUAAGGCUUCUUGCAAGUUGAGCCAUUCGGGAUCGCAGUAAAGAGGCCCAUGUGACUGUUUAGUAAAAACACAUGUCUCUGCAAAGUCGUAGACUCAAGACGACGUAUAGGGACUGACACCUGCCCAAUGCCGGAAGGUUAAGGGGAGAGAUUAUUCUCCGAUUUCGGAGGAGAAGUCUCAAACUGAAGCCCCGGUGAAUGGCGGCCGUAACUAUAACGGUUGAAGUCAAAGCUACCUGACAAAGGCCGUUAUAAAAUUUGGCUAUAUGCUGGAACAUCUGGAGUAUCUCAUGCUACCGAGGAGGUGAAAAUGUAUGAGUGCAGAUUACCAGCAGGAAAGGCUUUUAGGGUCUCGAGAAUUUCGGUUUUAUAUUGCAGGGUUUAUAGAUGGAGAAGGAAGUUUUAAUGUGUCUCUCAAACCUCAUCCGGCGAUGCGCUUUGGAUGGGUUGUUGAUCCUGCAUUCCAGGUCUAUCAACAUCGAGAUAACAUAAGAAUUCUGGAAAUAAUCAGAGAUACAUUAAAAUGUGGAAGAAUAAAACCAAAAUCUCCUUCCAGUAAUACAAUGGUCUAUAUGGUGGAUAAUCGAAGGACUCUGCAAGAAAAGAUAAUUCCAUUCUUUGAAAAAUACAAAAUUCUUUCAAAGAAAUAUGAGGAUUAUCUUAAAUUUAAAGAAAUUCUUGAGAGAAUGCAGAGAAAAGAGCAUCUAACCCGAGAAGGGUUAGUAAGGAUAGUGGAGAUUGCUUGUAGCAUGAAUCAAAAAGGUAAACAACGUAAAUAUUCCCAAGAUUAUAUACUCUCUACCCUAAAAGAAUCCUCAGAGACUAUAUGCCAAAUUCGCCACUGAUUAUGGUGGAAAGAUAUAGUCCGAUCUCUAGAGCGAUCUAGAGCUAACAUAAAUGCCUAAGGUAGCGAAAUUCCUAGUCGGGUAAGUUCCGACCCGCACGAAUGGUGUAACAACAUGGGCGCUGUCUCAACGGGGGGCUCGGCGAAAUUGUAGUAGCGGUGAAGAUGCCGCUUACCCGCAGG
rnacentral:rRNA from 1 species